GUGAGUACCUACUCCUUGUUGGAUGUGAGUGAAUGGAAGAGAGUGUUUCCUCCCUUCUCCACACUGGGGGCAUAGAGCUUGGAGACCAACUUGCAAAAUGCCCCACUCCAUGGCUCAGCCUGACUCUAGCCACCCUCAUGCCGGCACCUGGAGCCUGGUGUCUGUUCUGCCAGGAUGGAGAAAACGAAUGGGAGCCAUCACUGGUGUUCUGCUGCCGACAAAGCGGUUCUGGAAUCCGCAGUGAGUGGCCACUCGAGAGCCAGGACCGAGCCUCGCCGCUAGGGGGAGUUCAGCUCGUAGGACCGGAAGUGCAAUUUAAUUUCUCAAACCUGGAAACCACAGAGGAGCUCAAAGUGUUUAUUGCAAGACUGGUGGAUCAUCCAGUUUCCCCUUUUGCAGAUGAAGAAACUGAGGUCCACCAAGGUUGGAGGACGUGUUGCCCAAUGUCACCCAGGACAUCAGGGCAGAACUGGGACUUGCCCUCAAGCUGAGUGUCCGUCCCAUCCCCGGGCAUCUCUGCCUUCUUGACACAGGAAAACCAAGUUUCUCGGCAGGGGGUGUGCACGAGAUAGUCCAGCCCGAGGCGGGUGCCAUAGAAGCCCUGCCCCCCACCGGCCCUGCUGGAAAGUUUCCAUUUCAGGGUUUGCCUUCUUCAUAGCAGUGUCUCAAACCCCUUAGUCCUUUAGACAAAAUAAUAAUGAUAACAAUCAUAACAAUAACAGUUGCAUAAGCCGAGCUGUGGUGGGGAACAGGAUUUACAAUUCGGAUUGUUUUCAGAAAACACCUCUGUAUUUAGCAAUAAUAUUAUGGAAGUAGCAAUAAAGUUAUCUGCUU
rnacentral:lncRNA from 1 species